rnacentral:rRNA from 1 species
UACGUAGGUGGCAAGCGUUGUUCGGAAUUAUUGGGCGUAAAGGGCGCGUAGGCGGCCUGUUAAGUCGGUUGUGAAAGCCCGGGGCUCAACCCCGGAAAGUCGACCGAUACUGGCAAGCUAGAGUACGGAAGAGGUAGCUGGAAUUCCCGGUGUAGCGGUGAAAUGCGCAGAUAUCAGGAAGAACACCCGUGGCGAAGGCGGCUCUCUGGGACGGUACUGACGCUGAGACGCGAAAGCGUGGGGAGCGAACAGG